rnacentral:rRNA from 1 species
GUGAGGAAUAUUGGACAAUGGGCGCAAGCCUGAUCCAGCCAUGCCGCGUGCAGGAAGACGCAUCUAUGGUGUGUAAACUGCUUUUGUACGGGAAGAAACACUCCCUCGUGAGGGAGCUUGACGGUACCGUAAGAAUAAGGAUCGGCUAACUCCGUGCCAGCAGCCGCGGUAAUACGGAGGAUCCAAGCGUUAUCCGGAAUCAUUGGGUUUAAAGGGUCCGUAGGCGGUUUAAUAAGUCAGUGGUGAAAGCCCAUCGCUCAACGAUGGAACGGCCAUUGAUACUGUUAGGCUUGAAGUACAAGGAAGUAACUAGAAUAUGUAGUGUAGCGGUGAAAUGCUUAGAUAUUACAUGGAAUACCAAUUGCGAAGGCAGGUUACUACUUGUGGAUUGACGCUGAUGGACGAAAGCGUGGGGAGCGAACAGGAUUAGAAACCCCAGUAGUCC